AACAAACCGCAGUCGUCCUCU
rnacentral:miRNA from 8 species